AGUUUGAUUAUGGCUCAGGAUGAACGCUAGCUACAGGCUUAACACAUGCAAGUCGAGGGGCAGCAUGGAGUUGCUUGCAAACUCUGAUGGCGACCGGCGCACGGGUGAGUAACGCGUAUCCAACCUUCCCUAUAGUAGAGGAUAGCCCGGCGAAAGUCGGAUUAAUACUCUAUGUUUUCCGUUGCAGACAUCUAAGAUGGAACAAAGGCUUGCCGCUAUAGGAUGGGGGAUGCGUCUGAUUAGGUAGUCGGCGGGGUAACGGCCCACCGAGCCAUCGAUCAGUAGGGUUCUGAGAGGAAGGUCCCCCACAUUGGAACUGAGACACGGUCCAAACUCCUACGGGAGGCAGCAGUGAGGAAUAUUGGUCAAUGGGCGAGAGCCUGAACCAGCCAAGUAGCGUGCAGGAUGACGGCCCUAUGGGUUGUAAACUGCUUUUAUGCGGGGAUAAAGUUCACUACGUGUAGUGUUUUGUAGGUACCGCAUGAAUAAGGACCGGCUAAUUCCGUGCCAGCCGCCGC
rnacentral:rRNA from 1 species